CAAUAGCGUAUAUUAAAGUUGUUGCAGUUAAAAAGCUCGUAGUUGGACCUUGGACCUGGACAGGCGGUCCGCCUCACGGCGUGUACUGUCUUGCUGGGUCUUUCCUCUUGGUGAUCUGUUGUUUCGGCAGCAGGGAACCAGGACUUUUACUUUGAAAAAAUUAGAGUGUUCAAAGCAGGCUCGACGCCGGAAUAUAUUAGCAUGGAAUAAUAAAAUAGGACGUGCGGUUCUAUUUUGUUGGUUUUUGGAAUCGCCGUAAUGAUUAAUAGGGACAGUCGGGGGCAUUAGUACUCACAUGCUAGAGGUGAAAUUCUUGGAUUUUGUGAAGACUAACUUCUGCGAAAGCAUUUGCCAAGGAUGUUUUCAUUGA
rnacentral:rRNA from 1 species